rnacentral:lncRNA from 1 species
AAAUAAAUAGCUUGCUCAUAUGACUUGCUUUAAGUAUGUUUUUAAAAUUUUAAGAACUAAGUUUUAUAGUUAUGUGGUUUUUUAUUAUACUUUCAAAAGUAAUAAUUUUUUCAAAACUCGAAAAAGCACUCGGAUUGCAAUGUUACCAUUGUUCAGCAACCAGCUAUGAGGCCUGCAAGGAAUCAAGUAUAAUAAAACCUUGUCCAAAUGACUCCCAUUGCGUUACUUUGUCAUACAAGAUAUAUGUAGAAUCAUUGAACAUAUCAACCGUCUCUCAAAUUUACCGAAAAAUGUGCGUCAUUUCUAAACUUGAUAACUGUCAAAAGUAUUGCUUGCUUUACAAAAGUAUGGGAAACAUGUGUGCUGUUGACUGUUGUUCUACAAAUUUAUGCAACGCAAAGAAAAUACCUUCCAUUCGUCAAAGAAGUCGAUCAACAGCCGUUUGCAACAACAGCAUUAAUUAUAUUUAUUUAAUCGUGUAUUGUUUACUUUUGACUAAAGAAAAUAUAUAAACAAA